GAAACAAUGCACGGAUUAUGACAAAGUAUCAUAUAAAUGACUUAGAUACACCUUUUGGUUGACGGACCAUGAACGAAAUCUGCUCAUACAGUUUACAGUUUUACUCGCUACAGCGUCAUUUGUUGUUGCUCUCUUUGGCGUGGUAUCGGAUUUUGAAACGUACAUGUUCCAGUUCCGGCAUUCAAAAUUCAAGUGGAUCAUGAUAAGUACUUCCAUGACAGAAGGAUGAUUGGAAACAAGCAACUACCACAUAUCAAAAAGAAACCGUUCCCAUAUACCUUGUUGGUGUAAUUAGAUAUAUAAUUGUAUUACAGAUUAGCUCCUUCUCUAAAUUUUAAUUUCUAAUCAGAUAAUCUACCCAACAAGCCAACAAAUAUGUAAAUUCUGAAGCUCUAUUAGGAAUUUAAACAAUGUACGCUCUUUCUGUUACUUCCACUA